CACAGGAACGUCGAAUAUUUCCUUCUCGGGCUCGGUUGUAUCAAGCUGUUCAAAGCAACGACAUCAACAUUAUAUAUGUUCUUAAACAGACGGUUAUUUCUUGUUUGUAACUGUUUGGAUAGAAGUACAUUAUUAUCAUGCUGCAUUUAGUUACCAUCCGCUGAGCACUUACUAGGGGCUCCAGAUGUCGGCUGUUAACAGAUGUCGUAUCCAAGGCAAUCCACGCAGCAAUGAUUACGAAAUCCACGAGCACAACCGUCAAGACUCCACAAAUAAGUUUCCAGUCAGAGGAGGCCUAACGCCAAGACAGCGCCGAUCGACGUCAGGGAGAACAGAAUCGCCCGUACGCUAGACGAUACUUCAAGGAUCUUAGAUCUCUGUGUUAUACCAUCCACGGGAACAUGACCACCUGUGUGAAGAUUAUGAGCCAAAGAAACAACGAGGAAAAGAUUCCACUAGGCUCCAGGACAACUCAACUGAGUCACCGGCGUGUCAGCUUCAGAUGAAAACGACCUAUUUGAAAAUACUAUGCGUGCACGAAGCGGAAG